UACAGAGGUCUCAAGCGUUGUUCGGAUUUACUGGGCGUAAAGAGCGCGCAGGCGGUCGAUCAAGUCGAGUGUGAAAGCCCCCGGCUUAACUGGGGAGGGUCAUUCGAUACUGUUCGACUUGAAGGCAGGAGAGGGCAGCAGAAUUCCCGGUGUAGUGGUGAAAUGCGUAGAUAUCGGGAGGAAUACCAGUGGCGAAGGCGGCUGCCUGGCCUGUUCUUGACGCUGAGGCGCGAAAGCGUGGGGAGCAAACAGG
rnacentral:rRNA from 1 species